rnacentral:rRNA from 1 species
AUUGAACGCUGGCGGAAUGCUUUACACAUGCAGGUCGAACGGCAGCACGGGAGCAAUCCUGGUGGCGAGUGGCGAACGGGUGAGUAACAUAUCGGAACGUGCCCAGUAGUGGGGGGAUAGCCCGGCGAAAGCCGGAUUAAUACCGCAUACGACCUGUGGGUGAAAGCGGGGGAUCGCAAGACCUCGCGCUAUUGGAGCGGCCGAUAUCAGAUUAGCUUGUUGGUGGGGUAAAAGCCCACCAAGGCGACGAUCUGUAGCUGGUCUGAGAGGACGACCAGCCACACUGGGACUGAGACACGGCCCAGACUCCUACGGGAGGCAGCAGUGGGGAAUUUUGGACAAUGGGCGCAAGCCUGAUCCAGCCAUGCCGCGUGUGGGAAGAAGGCCUUCGGGUUGGUUAAACCG